CUUCUCUCCACUCACUCCUCCACCUUAUCUACUCCCUCACACUCUUCUCCUACUCUCCCCCAUGAAAAUGCAGCUCCACCUAGCUCCCAUGGCCGGCCAUGGCCAUGGAAAGAACUCCAAGAUGAAGCUCCCUCCUCCCUCAAGCUCCUCCUCACCAUGAGAGCCUCCCUCUCCUUCUUCUCCCCAACCCUAGAUGGUAUUCUCUCCUCUUCCUCUUACUCCAUUGCUAAGAUUGGAUCUUGAUGCAGGUGCAUGUUGGUCCAAGCAUGGAGAAGCUUGAGCAAUCCUCAGAUCUGAAGUUCUUGAGCAAAAUCCAAAUUGAGUGAUUCAAAGUUCCGCGGAUAGGUAUUCAAAAGAUCUACAACUUGGCGUUGGUCUCAUCCUCAAAUUCGCUACAGAUUCUCCCUGAUCAAGAUCUGGACAGAUCUGGCUUUGUCGAAUUAAAUCAGGAGCUUGGGACCGAAUUUUUGAAUGAAACAAAUUGGGGGAUACUUAGUUGUGCCAUGGUGAUACCUAGAGAGGCAAUUGCUAAGUCGUGGCACUCUCAUACCUUUACUAGAUGCGAACAAUUUCGGAGGAGAAGAAGAAGAAGUGGAAUCGGACAAGGAUUUUAUUUGUAAUGUGGGAAUUCUUAUUUGAUGGAGUUGAAGAAGUCCAGGGACAAAUAAGCCAAGGCAAGCCAUCUCUUGAUCUUUGAAUGUUGAAUCACAUAUUGUGGUUACUUUGUUAUAAUUAUUGUCUCUCGAUCAAUCUUGUGUGAUUUCUACUUUUGUUGUUGGAGCAUGCUUACCGUGAGCAUGCUUACUCUCUU